CGGACGGGUGAGUAACACGUGGGCAACCGUGCCUCAUAGAGAGGAAUAGCCUUCCGAAAGGGAGAUUAAUACCUCAUAACAUUGCAGUUUCGCAUGGAACAGCAAUUAAAGGAGCAAUCCACUAUGAGAUGGGCCCGCGGCGCAUUAGCUAGUUGGUGAGGUAACGGCUCACCCAAGGCGACGAUGCGUAGCCGACCUGAGAGGGUGAUCGGCCACAUUGGGACUGAGACACGGCCCAGACUCCUACGGGAGGCAGCAGUGGGGAAUAUUGCACAAUGGGGGAAACCCUGAUGCCAGCAACGCCGCGUGAGUGAUGACGGCCUUCGGGUUGUAAAGCUCUGUCUUCAGGGACGAUAAUGACGGUACCUGAGGAGGAAGCCACGGCUAACUACGUGCCAGCCGCCGC
rnacentral:rRNA from 1 species